CUACGGGGGGCACCAGUGAGGAAUAUUGCACAAUGGGGGGAACCCUGAUGCAGCAACGCCGCGUGGAGGAUGACGCAUUUCGGUGUGUAAACUCCUUUUAUAUGUCAAGAAAAUGACGGUAGCAUAUGAAUAAGCACCGGCUAACUCCGUGCCAGCAGCCGCGGUAAUACGGAGGGUGCAAGCGUUACUCGGAAUCACUGGGCGUAAAGGACGCGUAGGCGGGUUGGAAAGUCAGGUGUGAAAUCCUACAGCUUAACUGUAGAACUGCACUUGAAAAUUCUAAGCUAGAGUAUGGGAGGGGGAGAUGGAAUUAGUGGUGUAGGGGUAAAAUCCGUAGAUAUCACUAGGAAUACCUAAAGCGAAGGCGAUCUCCUGGAACAUUACUGACGCUAAGGCGUGAAAGCGUGGGGAGCAAACAGGAUUAGAUACCCUAGUAGUC
rnacentral:rRNA from 1 species